CUUUACACAUGCAAGUCGAACGGCAGCACGGGAGCUUGCUCCUGGUGGCGAGUGGCGAACGGGUGAGUAAUGCGUCGGAACGUACCGAGUAAUGGGGGAUAACGCGGCGAAAGUCGCGCUAAUACCGCAUACGCCCUGAGGGGGAAAGCGGGGGAUCGCAAGACCUCGCGUUAUUCGAGCGGCCGACGUCUGAUUAGCUAGUUGGUGGGGUAAGGGCCUACCAAGGCGACGAUCAGUAGCGGGUCUGAGAGGAUGAUCCGCCACACUGGGACUGAGACACGGCCCAGACUCCUACGGGAGGCAGCAGUGGGGAAUUUUGGACAAUGGGGGCAACCCUGAUCCAGCCAUUCCGCGUGAGUGAAGAAGGCCUUCGGGUUGUAAAGCUCUUUCAGCUGGAACGAAACGGUGCGCUCUAACAUAACGCGCUAAUGACGGUACCGGCAGAAGAAGCACCGGCUAACUACGUGCCAGCAGCCGCGGUAAUACGUAGGGUGCGAGCGUUAAUCGGAAUUACUGGGCGUAAAAGCGUGCGCAGGCGGGAUUGUUAAGCAAGG
rnacentral:rRNA from 1 species